GACAGAGGUGCCGAGCGUUAGGCGGAAUCACUGGGCUUAAAGCGUGUGUAGGCGGGUCGUUAAGUGUCUUGUGAAAUCCCACCGCUCACCGGUGGAACGGCUGGGCAUACUGGCGACCUUGAGAGGCCUAGGGGCAGACGGAACAAGCGGUGGAGCGGUGAAAUGCGUAGAUAUCGCUUGGAACGCCGACGGCGAAAGCAGUCGGCUGGGGGCCUUCUGACGCUGAGACACGAAAGCCAGGGGAGCGAACGGG
rnacentral:rRNA from 1 species